rnacentral:rRNA from 1 species
UACGAAGGGGGCUAGCGUUGCUCGGAAUCACUGGGCGUAAAGGGCACGUAGGCGGCUUUGUAAGUUGGGUGUUAAAGACCAGGGCUUAACCUUGGGAGUGCAUUCAAGACUGUGAGGCUAGAAUAUAGAAGAGGUUGAUGGAAUUUCCGGUGUAGCGGUGAAAUGCGUAGAGAUCGGAAGGAACACCAGUGGCGAAGGCGAUUGGCUGGUCUAAUAUUGACGCUGAGGUGCGAAAGCGUGGGGAGCAAACAGG